rnacentral:rRNA from 1 species
GCACGAGCGCACCCUUGUCCUUAGUUACCAGCACGUUUAUGGUGGGCACUCUAGGGAGACUGCCGGUGACAAACCGGAGGAAGGUGGGGACGACGUCAAGUCAUCAUGGCCCUUACGGCCAGGGCUACACACGUGCUACAAUGGUGCAUACAGACGGUUGCCAAGCCGCAAGGUGGAGCUAAUCUGAGAAAGUGCAUCGUAGUCCGGAUUGGGGUCUGCAACUCGACCCCAUGAAGUCGGAAUCGCUAGUAAUCGUGAAUCAGAAUGUCACGGUGAAUACGUUCCCGGGCCUU